GACGAACGCUGGCGGCGUGGAUUAGGCAUGCAAGUCGAACGGUAUCAUCCUUUCGGGGAUGAGAGAGUGGCGAACGGGUGAGUAACACGUAGGUGAUCUACCCUCAAGACGGGGACAACCCAGGGAAACUUGGGCUAAUACCGGAUGUGAGCUAUCGUGAGAUAGUUUGAAAGGUGGCUUCGGCUGCCGCUUGAGGAUGAGCCUGCGUCCUAUUAGCUAGUUGGUGAGGUAACGGCUCACCGAGGCAGUGAUAGGUAGGCGGCCUUAACGGGUGGUCGCCCACACUGGGAUUGAGAUACGGCCCAGACUCCUACGGGAGGCAGCAGUCGAGAAUAGUCUACAAUGGUCGAAAGACUGAUAGUGCGACGCCGCGUGAACGAUGAAUCCCUUCGGGGUGUAAAGUUCUUUUAUAUGUGAGCAGUGCUUUCUAUGUGAACAGCAUGGGGAGAGAGAUAUUAGCAUAUGAAUAAGCAACGGCUAACUCCGUG
rnacentral:rRNA from 1 species